AGGGAAGCAAGACCGCGAGGUGGAGCAAAACCCUAAAAAAUGGUCUCAGUUCGGAUUGCAGGCUGCAACCCGCCUGCAUGAAGUUGGAAUUGCUAGUAAUCGCGGAUCAGCAUGCCGCGGUGAAUACGUUCCCUGGCCUUGUACACACCGCCCGUCACACCAUGGGAGCCGGUAAUACCCGAAGUCAGUAGCCUAACCGCAAGGGGGGCGCUGCCGAAGGUAGGAUUGGCGACUGGGGUGAAGUCGUAACAAGGUACC
rnacentral:rRNA from 1 species